AUUGAACGCUGGCGGCAUGCUUUACACAUGCAAGUCGAACGGUAACAGGCCUUCGGGUGCUGACGAGUGGCGCACGGGUGAGUAAUGCAUCGGAACGUGCCCAGAGGUGGGGGAUAACGCAGCGAAAGCUGUGCUAAUACCGCAUGUGAUCUGAGGAUGAAAGCGGGGGACCAAGCAGCAAUGUUUGGCCUCGCGCCUCUGGAGCGGCCGAUGUCAGAUUAGGUAGUUGGUGGGGUAAAGGCCUACCAAGCCGACGAUCUGUAGCUGGUCUGAGAGGACGACCAGCCACACUGGGACUGAGACACGGCCCAGACUCCUACGGGAGGCAGCAGUGGGGAAUUUUGGACAAUGGGCGCAAGCCUGAUCCAGCAAUGCCGCGUGCGGGAAGAAGGUCUUCGGGUUGUAAACCGCUUUUGUACGGAACGAAGAGGCUCUGGCUAAUACCUGGGGCUGAUGACGGUACCGUAAGAAUAAGCACCGGCUAACUACGUG
rnacentral:rRNA from 1 species